AGUGAACGCUGGCGGUAGGCCUAACACAUGCAAGUCGAACGGCAGCACAGGAGAGCUUGCUCUCUGGGUGGCGAGUGGCGGACGGGUGAGGAAUACAUCGGAAUCUACUCUGUCGUGGGGGAUAACGUAGGGAAACUUACGCUAAUACCGCAUACGACCUACGGGUGAAAGCAGGGGACCUUCGGGCCUUGCGCGAUUGAAUGAGCCGAUGUCGGAUUAGCUAGUUGGCGGGGUAAAGGCCCACCAAGGCGACGAUCCGUAGCUGGUCUGAGAGGAUCAGCAGCAACACUGGAACUGAGACGCGGUCCAGACUCCUACGGGAGGCAGCAGUGGGGAAUAGUGGACAAUGGGCGCAAGCCUGAUCCAGCCAUACCGCGUGGGUGAAGAAGGCCUUCGGGUUGUAAAGCCCUUUUGUUGGGAAAGAAAUCCAGCUGGCUAAUACCCGGUUGGGAUGACGGUACCCAAAGAAUAAGGACCGGCUAACUACGUGCCAGCAGCCGCCGUAA
rnacentral:rRNA from 1 species